rnacentral:tRNA from 1 species
UAGUUCAAUUGGUAGAGCACCGGUCUCCAAAACCGGCUGUUGGGGGUUCGAGUCCC